rnacentral:rRNA from 1 species
GAUGAACGCUGGCGGCGUGCCUAAUACAUGCAAGUCGAGCGAACAGACGAGGAGCUUGCUCCUCUGACGUUAGCGGCGGACGGGUGAGUAACACGUGGAUAACCUACCUAUAAUACUGGGAUAACUUCGGGAAACCGGAGCUAAUACCGGAGAAUAUAUUGAACCGCAUGGUUCAAUAGUGAAAGACGGCUUUGCUGGCACUUAUAGAUGGAUCCGCGCCGCAUUAGCUAGUUGGUAAGGUAACGGCUUACCAAGGCGACGAUGCGUAGCCGACCUGAGAGGGUGAUCGGCCACACUGGAACUGAGACACGGUCCAGACUCCUACGGGAGGCAGCAGUAGGGAAUCUUCGGCAAUGGGCGAAAGCCUGACGGAGCAACGCCGCGUGAGUGAUGAAGGUCUUCGGAUCGUAAAACUCUGUUAUUAGGGAAGAACAAAUGUGUAAGUAAAUAUGCACGUCUUGACGGUACCUAAUCAGAAAGCCACGGCUAACUACGUG